ensembl:lncRNA
AUGGGAUGGGAUGAUCAUAGGAUGGGAUAGGUAUAUGAAUGGAUAUGGGUGGACACGGAUGGAUGUGGGGAUAUGGAUUCAGGAAGGCUGUGGGAUGGGAAUGGAUAUGGGACAUGGGGUACAGGAUGGGGAUAGGAUAUGGGAUGUGGGGGUAUGGAUGUGGGAUGGAUUUAGGAUGGGGUAUGGGAUUGGAUAAGGGAUGGGACAUUGAUAUGGGAUGGAUAGGAGAUGGGAUCGGUUUGGGAUGAGAUACGGAUUUGAGAUGGAUUUGGGAUGGUUAUGGGAUGGAUAAGGUGAUAUGGAUAUAGAAAGAGAUUUGGCAUGGAGUUGGGAUGGGAUAUGGAUAGAGGAUGAGAUAUGGGAUGGGAUACGGAUAUGGGAUGGGCUAUGGAUACGGGAUGGAUUUGGGAUUUGGAUACGGGAUGGAUUUGGGAUAUGGAUACGGGAUGGAUUUGGGGUAUGGGUUUGGGAUGGAUAUGAUGGUUUGGAUAUUGGAAGGGUUAUGGAUACAGGAUGGGAUAUGGGAUGGGAUAUGGAUAUGGGAUGGCUAUGAGAUGGGGCUGUAGUGGUUAUAGGGCCAUGGGGGCUAUGGGGCUGGGAUGCUGCAGUGUCCCCAAAGCACUCCCCGGUGUGACACACGGAGCCCCACAGCCGCUCCUCUUCCUGCUAUUCACGUAGGGGGGGCAUCCCCCAACCCCCCGUUAUCACAAAAUAAACCUUAAUCCCAAA